rnacentral:rRNA from 1 species
GAUGAACGCUGGCGGCGUGCCUAAUACAUGCAAGUCGAGCGAACAGACGAGGAGCUUGCUCCUCUGACGUUAGCGGCGGACGGGUGAGUAACACGUGGAUAACCUACCUAUAAGACUGGGAUAACUUCGGGAAACCGGAGCUAAUACCGGAUAAUAUAUUGAACCGCAUGGUUCAAUAGUGAAAGACGGUUUUGCUGUCACUUAUAGAUGGAUCCGCGCCGCAUUAGCUAGUUGGUAAGGUAACGGCUUACCAAGGCAACGAUGCGUAGCCGACCUGAGAGGGUGAUCGGGCACACUGGAACUGAGACACGGUCCAGACUCCUACGGGAGGCAGCAGUAGGGCAUCCUCCGCAAUGGGGGAAAGCUUGACGGAGAAACGCCGCGUGAGUGAUGAAGGUCUUCGGAUCGUAAAACUCUGUUAUUAGGGAAGAACAAAUGUGUAAGUAACUAUGCACGUCUUGACGGUACCUAAUCAGAAAGCCACGGCUAACUACGUG